CCUACGGGAGGCAGCAGUAGGGAAUCUUCCGCAAUGUGACGAAAGUCUGACGGAGCAACGCCGCGUGAACGAAGAAGGCCUUCGGGUCGUAAAGUUCUGUUGUUAGGGAAGAACAAGUACCAGAGUAACUGCUGGUACCUUGACGGUACCUAACCAGAAAGCCACGGCUAACUACGUGCCAGCAGCCGCGGUAAUACGUAGGUGGCAAGCGUUGUCCGGAAUUAUUGGGCGUAAAGCGCGCGCAGGUGGUUCUUUAAGUCUGAUGUGAAAGCCCACGGCUCAACCGUGGAGGGUCAUUGGAAACUGGGGAACUUGAGUGCAGAAGAGGAAAGUGGAAUUCCAAGUGUAGCGGUGAAAUGCGUAGAGAUUUGGAGGAACACCAGUGGCGAAGGCGACUUUCUGGUCUGUAACUGACACUGAGGCGCGAAAGCGUGGGGAGCAAACAGGAUUAGAUACCCUGGUAGUCCACGCCGUAAACGAUGAGUGCUAAGUGUUAGAGGGUUUCCGCCCUUUAGUGCUGCAGCUAACGCAUUAAGCACUCCGCCUGGGGAGUACGGCCGCAAGGCUGAAACUUAAAGGAAUUGACGG
rnacentral:rRNA from 1 species